rnacentral:rRNA from 1 species
GAGAGAGACAUGCGCGCAUAUCAAUAAGCGGAGGAAAAGAAACUAACAAGGAUUCCCCUAGUAACGGCGAGUGAAGCGGGAAGAGCUCAAAUUUGAAAUCUUAAAGGGUUUCCCUUUACGAAUUGUAGUUUAAAGAAGUGUUUUCUGUUGAGGUUUUGGUAAAAGUUCUUUGGAAUAGGACAUCAUAGAGGGUGAGAAUCCCGUAUUUGACCUUUACUUUCAACUUUGUGAUACACUUUCAAAGAGUCGGAUUGUUUGGGAAUGCAGUCCAAAAUGGGUGGUAAAUUUCAUCUAAAGCUAAAUAUUGGCGAGAGACCGAUAGCGAACAAGUACCGUGAGGGAAAGAUGAAAAGAACUUUGAAAAGAGAGUUAAACAGUACGUGAAAUUGUCAAAAGGGAAGCGUUUGACACCAGUGUUGUUUUUCUGAAAAUCAAUUAAAGAACUGUUUAUGCUAAGCUGUUUAGACUUUAUCAGCUAUCUGUUUAGUUUUGAGCUUUUCUUUAAUGCACUUUUCAGUUAACAAGUCAACAUCAAUUUCUUUUGCUGUAAAAAAGCUUGAGGAAGGUGGCUUGAGAUUCGUCUUAAGUGUUUAUAGCCUCUUGCCUAUGCAGUCGGAGAGAUUGAGGUCUGCAGCGUAGAUCCUUCGGGGCUAAAUGCAUUUGUGCUAAGUUAUAGCAUUUUAUAGACAACUUGUUGACUAUGAUUUGUCUUGUAGCUUACUCGCUUAUGUUAUUUUACCUACGCUUAGGAUGUUGACGCAUGAGAUAUACGC